CGUAGAACGAGAUGUGAGCCAAGACGUUGUAAAAAGAGAUUAAAUUAGUAUUUUCCUUGUCAAAUAAAUAAAUACAUACAUACAUACAUAAAUAAUACAGUCCACACAACAGUGGUUAUUGUUUGAUCAAAAUCACUUGAGUAGUCGUUGGCUAUUGGUAGAUGUAUUGGUUCAUGUCCCGUCCAUAGACCGUAUAAAAACAGGUCCCGUCCCAUACUUGGUAUUAUUAACCAUAGACUGUAAAAAUAUAUAUUGCAUCCAGCCACCAGAUGGCGACCGAAAUGGCUUCACUGCACACUUGAGUAGAGUAGUAGAGGACUCGUACUAAACUAUGCAAUCGUUAGCUACUACUAUAAGCGCCACCCGUAGUCGAUAUAGCCAACCUUUUUUUCCUGAUAUACGGGAGCGAUCUCCUCGCAAACUAAGUCAGAGCGUAUGUGGCACUGUUGAGCUCAGAAACAGGGAGGAGACUAUAGACAUCUACAGUCAACUGAACUCAACUCAUGUCAGCGCGAAAUGCUCAACAGCUAUUCCUAAGAAGCCAGUCUGGAACAAUUGGAUACAUCUUUGUUUCACAAAGGGGUUAAUUUAAGAGGAUAUCCCUAUAUGAUUUGCCUAAAUUAUAAUUUUCCACCAAGACCUAAGAAAAUGUAAAUAAAUAUUCAUAUUAAGUAUUAAUGUUUCCUUACAGAUUUGGGAAUGUGUCUCAACUCUACCUUUGAGCAAAAGUUUGUUUGUUUUUUACAGAGUAUUCUUAUUUUUCCCGAUCAGUGGACUGUUUCCACAAUUUAUCUGCAAGGCUGCACUUGCAUGUUUAGCCUACAGAUCACAGCAACACUUUGUAUUUUAUAAUGGCUGUACUUUAACACUUUUCACAUCUACUUUGCAAUGCAGCAAUACUACAGCGAAGCUUUGCACUUAACACUGACCUAAUAAUUUGCUCAGGUCACCGUUUAUCUCUUAUUAUACAUACAAUGGACUAUGGGUUCAGGCCAUGAUGGUAUAUUUUUGAAUAAUCUUAAUUCAGUAUUUUUUUAAGGUAAGCCAUCUCAGCGAAUACUGACAUACAGCAUAUGUAAAGUAAAUAAUUUGAUCAAAUUGUAUUCAGAGGCUGUUCAAAAUAAGAGAAAGUCAGUAUAAUCUAAGAGGAAUGUAUGUUUAAAAAGGUAGGGCAAGAACUAAUGCAAAAAAAAUAGGUGUAUAUCUGUCAAAGGGGUAAAUCUAUGGAAUAAAUGUGAUAAGGAAUUAUGUAAUUCACUUUGCAAAUUUAAGAAAAUGUAUAAAUGCAAGGUGAUAAAUAAUUAUAUGUAUUAAUAAAUUGUGAAUGUAUUAGUUAAAAUAUUGAAGUAAUAGCUGGAAUGUGUAUUUCUGUUAUUAUGUACGUUUGGAAUUAUGUAUGUACAU
rnacentral:lncRNA from 1 species